rnacentral:rRNA from 1 species
GAUGAACGCUGGCGGCGUGCCUAAUACAUGCAAGUCGAGCGAACGGACGAGAAGCUUGCUUCUCUGAUGUUAGCGGCGGACGGGUGAGUAACACGUGGAUAACCUACCUAUAAGACUGGGAUAACUUCGGGAAACCGGAGCUAAUACCGGAUAAUAUUUUGAACCGCAUGGUUCAAAAGUGAAAGACGGUCUUGCUGUCACUUAUAGAUGGAUCCGCGCUGCAUUAGCUAGUUGGUAAGGUAACGGCCUACCAAGGCAACGAUGCAUAGCCGACCUGAGAGGGGGAUCGGCCACACUGGAACUGAGACACGGUCCAGACGCCUAAGGGAGGCAGCAGUAGGGAAUGUUCCGCAGUGGGCGAAAGCCUGACGGAGCAACGCGGCGUGAGUGAUGAAGGCCUCCGGAUCGUAAAGCUCUGUUAUUAGGGAAGAACAUAUGUGGAAGGAACUGUGCACAUCUUGACGGUACCUAAUCAGAAAGCCACGGCUAACUACGUG